rnacentral:rRNA from 1 species
UACGUAGGGUGCAAGCGUUGUUCGGAAUCAUUGGGCGUAAAGCGCGUGUAGGUGGUCAGUUAAGUCGGGUGUGAAAUCCCUGGGCUCAACCGAGGAAGUGCAUCCGAAACUGAUUGGCUAGAAGGUGGUAGAGGGAGGUGGAAUUCCUAGUGUAGAGGUGAAAUUCGUAGAUAUUAGGAGGAAUACCGGCGGCGAAGGCGGCCUCCUGGACCAUUCUUGACACUGAGACGCGAAAGCGUGGGGAGCAAACAGG